GACGAACGCUGGCGGCGUGCUUAACACAUGCAAGUCGAACGGAGUGGCGAACGGGUGAGUAACACGUCGGUGACCUGCCCUGCACUCCGGGAUAAGCCAGGGAAACUGGGUCUAAUUCCGGAUAGUGUGGGAUGGUCCCGCGGCCUAUCAGCUGGUUGGUGGGGUAAUGGCCUACCGAGGCGGCGACGGGUCGCCGGCCGGCGAGGGUGGCCGGCCACAUUGCGCCUGCGACACUGCCCAGACCCCUACGUGGGGCAUCAGUGGGGAAUAUUCCCCAAGGGGCGGGAGCCUGAGGCAGCGCCGCCGCGGGGGGGAUGACGGCCUUCGGGUGGUGAACUCCUUGCGCCAUCGACGCGGUAGAUGGAGAAGAAGCACCGGCUAACUCCGUGCCAGCCGCCGCGGUAAUAC
rnacentral:rRNA from 1 species